rnacentral:rRNA from 1 species
GAUCAUGGCUCAGGAUGAACGCUAGCGACAGGCCUAACACAUGCAAGUCGAGGGGCAGCGGGGAGGUAGCAAUACCUUUGCCGGCGACCGGCGCACGGGUGAGUAACACGUAUCCAACCUGCCGUCUACUCUUGGACAGCCUUCUGAAAGGAAGAUUAAUACCUGAUGGUAUCUUAAGCACACAUGUAAUUAAGAUUAAAGAUUUAUCGGUGUACGAUGGGGAUGCGUUCCAUUAGGUAGUAGGCGGGGUAACGGCCCACCUAGCCAACGAUGGAUAGGGGUUCUGAGAGGAAGGUCCCCCACAUUGGAACUGAGACACGGUCCAAACUCCUACGGGAGGCAGCAGUGAGGAAUAUUGGUCAAUGGACGAGAGUCUGAACCAGCCAAGUAGCGUGAAGGAUGAAGGUCCUACGGAUUGUAAACUUCUUUUAUAAGGGAAUAAACCCUCCCACGUGUGGGAGCUUGUAUGUACCUUAUGAAUAAGCAUCGGCUAACUCCGUG